GCGCCACGGGAGCAAUCCUGGUGGCGAUGGCGCAACGGGUGAGUAAUAUAUCGGAACGUGCCCAGUAGUGGGGGAUAGCCCGGCGAAAGCCGGAUUAAUACCGCAUACGACCUGUGGGUGAAAGCGGGGGAUCGCAAGACCUCGCGCUAUUGGAGCGGCCGAUAUCAGAUUAGCUAGUUGGUGGGGUAAAGGCCUACCAAGGCGACGAUCUGUAGCUGGUCUGAGAGGACGACCAGCCACACUGGGACUGAGACACGGCCCAGACUCCUACGGGAGGCAGCAGUGGGGAAUUUUGGACAAUGGGCGCAAGCCUGAUCCAGCCAUGCCGCGUGUGGGAAGAAGGCCUUCGGGUUGUAAACCACUUUUGUCAGGGAACAAACGGUUUGUCCUAAUACGGUGAACUAAUGACGGUACCUGAAGAAUAAGCACCGGCUAACUACGUGCCAGCAGCCGCGGUAAUACGUAGGGUGCAAGCGUUAAUCGGAAUUACUGGGCGUAAAGCGUGCGCAGGCGGCUUUGCAAGACAGAUGUGAAAUCCCCGGGCUCAACCUGGGAACUGC
rnacentral:rRNA from 1 species